rfam:Ixodes scapularis strain Wikel colony gcontig_1107728768340, whole genome shotgun sequence.
GCAGUCGUGGCCGAGUGGUUAAGGCGAUGAACUAGAAAUACAUGGGGGUCUCCCCGCACAGGUUCGAAUCCUGUCGACUGCG